rnacentral:rRNA from 1 species
UACGGGGGGUCCAAGCGUUGUUCGGAAUCACUGGGCGUAAAGCGCACGUAGGUGGCUUUUCAAGUCUGUUGUGAAAGCCCAGGGCCUAACCCUGGAAGUGCAGCAGAUACUGUUAAGCUUGAGUAUGGGAGAGGAUAGUGGAAUUUCUGGUGUAGUGGUGAAAUACGUAGAUAUCAGAAGGAACACCAGUGGCGAAGGCGGCUAUCUGGCCCAAUACUGACACUGAGGUGCGAAAGCGUGGGGAUCAAACAGG